GCUUUUUCACUUAGCACAUUUUUCAGCAGCUCUUAGGGUGCUUUUGGUUUAAUGGCUAAAUGACCACCACUUGGAAUGUCUGAACUGUGAAUGUAUUUAACAAUAUUUUAAAAUUUUGAGGUAUUUUCGGUUUUGUAAAGCACACAGCAGAGGCAUAUAAAAAGAAAUAGUUUUUCACAGCGUUACAGUAUUUGUUACUUUCCUGCUACACUUGAUGUGUUUUGGUUCCCGUCUCUUCUCCCAUCCUCUUCUCUGCCUUUUAAAGUCUGUUGAGUCUUUUGUUCAUAGUUAUUUUACAUUUUUAAAAAAUGGUCUUAUUAAAUAUGAUUCAUGGACAAAGUAGUAGAGCAGUUAAGAUCUCUAAAGUGUUUUCUGUCUUUGACCUUUAAAAGUUCUCUAAGAGUUACUUUUCUAGCCACUUUAACCUACAAGUUAUAUAGUGUAUAAUAGUCCAUUA
rnacentral:lncRNA from 1 species